rnacentral:rRNA from 1 species
UAGAGUUUGAUCCUGGCUCAGAGCGAACGCUGGCGGCAGGCUUAACACAUGCAAGUCGAGCGGGCGUAGCAAUACGUCAGCGGCAGACGGGUGAGUAACGCGUGGGAACGUACCUUUUGGUUCGGAACAACACAGGGAAACUUGUGCUAAUACCGGAUAAGCCCUUACGGGGAAAGAUUUAUCGCCGAAAGAUCGGCCCGCGUCUGAUUAGCUAGUUGGUAGGGUAAUGGCCUACCAAGGCGACGAUCAGUAGCUGGUCUGAGAGGAUGAUCAGCCACAUUGGGACUGAGACACGGCCCAAACUCCUACGGGAGGCAGCAGUGGGGAAUAUUGGACAAUGGGGGCAACCCUGAUCCAGCCAUGCCGCGUGAGUGAUGAAGGCCCUAGGGUUGUAAAGCUCUUUUGUGCGGGAAGAUAAUGACGGUACCGCAAGAAUAAGCCCCGGCUAACUUCGUGCCAGCAGCCGCGGUAAU